rnacentral:rRNA from 1 species
UACGAAGGGGGCUAGCGUUGCUCGGAAUGACUGGGCGUAAAGGGCGCGUAGGCGGUUUGGACAGUCAGAUGUGAAAUUCCUGGGCUCAACCUGGGGGCUGCAUUUGAUACGUUCGGACUAGAGUGGGGAAGAGGGUCGUGGAAUUCCCAGUGUAGAGGUGAAAUUCGUAGAUAUUGGGGAAGAACACCGGUGGCGAAGGCGGCGACCUGGUCCUUGACUGACGCUGAGGCGCGAAAGCGUGGGGAGCAAACAGG